ACGGCAGAGGUAACCUCGCCACCACCCUUAUCGAACUCUUCAUCCGGAGAACUUUCGUCAACACCACUUCCACAAGUCCCUGCAGCAAAAUACCCAAGAGCAAAUUAAACACCGCCCAAGCCACAACCUUCAGCGCUCGUUUCCAGCACCUCUUCCCCUUCUUGUUCACCGGAAGGCCCGCAGCACCUUGCGCUUUUAUCACCACCGCAGCGGACGGAAGCAGCACAUCAAAGAGGAAAAAUAGCACGGACGGAACCAGGUAGAGCAGCACGCGGAUGGCGAGUGUUCCUACGAUUUCAACCUUUAACGGGGGACUUGACAUGACUAGCGUGAUCCAGGUGAUGUAGAAAAAGAUGAUGUUGAGACUUGUGGGGUAGGAGGACAUGGCUGGGAUAAGGAGGUAGGAGAUCAUAGGGAUUGAGAGGAGGAGGUCUAGCAUUUUCAGCGACGGUGUUGGUUUUACAACCCUUUCCUACAAUAUAAAGAAGGAAUGGGAUCAGGGGGGAAAGGAGGGAAAAACGAAAAAAAUAACGACAAUAAGAAGGAAAAAAGAUUUGUGCGACAAUCAAUCAAGGGAUGCAAGACAUAGCUUCAUAUUAAUAAAUGCAACUAGUUACAAAUAUUUUAAAGUAUAAAAUAAAUUCAAUUUGGGAGC
rnacentral:sRNA from 1 species